rnacentral:rRNA from 1 species
UACGUAGGGGUGCAGCGUUGUCCGGAAUCAUUGGGCGUAAAGCGCGCGUAGGCGGCCGGUAAGUCCGCUGUAAAAGUCAAGGGCUCAACCUUGAAUGUCAGUGGAUACUGCCGGGCUAGAGUCCGGAAGAGGCGAGUGGAACUCCCGUGGUGUAGCGGUGAAUGCGCAGAUAUCGAGGAAGAACACACGGCGAAGGCAGCUCGCUGGGACGGUACUGACGCUGAGACGCGAAAGCGUGGGGAGCGAACAGG